rnacentral:rRNA from 1 species
CGGAUAUUAAAAUCUGCUGCGCCCCAGCUAACGUGGUAAGUGAACCGCCUGGGGAGUACGGUCGCAAGACUAAAACCCAAAGGAAUUGACGGGGGCCCGCACAAGCGGUGGAGCAUGUGGUUUAAUUCGACGCAGCGCGAAGAACCUUACCUGGAUUUGACAUCCUGUGAAUCCCUUGGAAACUUGGGAGUGCCUUCGGGAACGCAGUGACAGGUGCUGCAUGGCUGUCGUCAGCUCGUGUCGUGAGAUGCUUGGUUAAGUCCAGCAACGAGCGCAACCCUUAUCUUUAGUUGCCAGCGCGUAAUGGCGGGAACUCUAGAGAGACUGCCCGGGUUAACCGGGGGGAAGGCGGGGAUGACGUCAAGUCCUCAUGGCCCUUAUGUCCAGGGCUACACACGUGCUACAAUGGUAAGUACAGAGGGCAGCAAGCCAGCGAUGGUUAGCCAAUCCCUAAAGCUUAUCUCAGUCCGGAUUGGAGUCUGCAACUCGACUCCAUGAAGUUGGAAUCGCUAGUAAUCGCGGAUCAGCAUGCCGCGGUGAAUAUGUUCCCGGGCCUUGUACACACCGCCCGUCACACCAUGAGAGUUGAUUAUACCCGACGUCGUUGGGCUAACCCUUCGGGGAAGCAGGCGCCUAAGGUAUGGUUGAUAAUUGGGGUGAAGUCGUAACAAGGUAGCCG